rnacentral:rRNA from 1 species
UGAAUACGAGACGCUAAGGCGUCGAAGUAGUGUAUGUCAUACUUCCAAGAAAAGCUUGCACUGUCAUAGAUAAAGAACGCCUGUACCAUAACCGACACAGGUGGGUAGGUAGAGUAUACUAAGGGGCGCGAGAUAACUCUCUCUAAGGAACUCGGCAAAAUAACUCCGUAACUUCGGGAGAAGGAGUGCCUUAUUCGUAAGGUUGCAAUAACAAGAUCCAAGCAACUGUUUAUCAAAAACACAGGUCUCCGCUAAGUCGUAAGACGAUGUAUGGGGGCUGACGCCUGCCCAGUGCCAGAAGGUUAAAGAAGUUGGUUAGCAAUUGCGAAGCUGAUAACUGAAGCCCUGGUGAACGGCGGCCGUAACAAUAACGGUCCUAAGGUAGCGAAAUUCCUUGUCGGGUAAGUUCCGGCCCGCACGAAAGGCGUAAUGAUUUGGAUACUGUCUCGGAGAGGGGCUCGGUGAAAUAGACUUGUCUGUGAAGAUGCGGACUACCUGCACCAGGACAGAAAGACCCUAUGAAGCUUUACUGUAACUUGAAAUUGAAAUUGGACUUUAUUCGCGCAGUAUAGGUGGGAGGCGUUGAUUAUAAUCUUGUGGGAUUAUUGGAGCCAUCAGUGAGAUACCACUCUUGUAAUGUUAGAUUUCUAACUUUGAAUCAUUAUCUGGUCAAAGAACAGUUUCAGGCGGGCAGUUUGACUGGGGCGGUCGCCUCCUAAACGGUAACGGAGGCGUACAAAGGUUUCCUCUGAACGGUUAGAAAUCGUAUCUAGAGUGUAAAGGCAUAAGGAAGCUUGACUGUGAGACCUACAAGUCGAGCAGGGACGAAAGUCGGUCUUAGUGAUCUGACGGUACUGAGUGGAAAGGCCGUCACUCAACGGAUAAAAGUUACUCUAGGAUAACAGGCUGAUCUCCCCCAAGAGUUCACAUCGACGGGGAGGUUUGGCACCUCGAUGUCGGCUCAUCGCAUCCUGGGGCGGUAGUACGUCCCAAGGGUUGGGCUGUUCGCCCAUGAAAGCGGUACGCGAGCUGGGUUCAGAACGUCGUGAGACAGUUCGGUCCAUAUCCGGUGUAGGCGUUAGAAUAUUGAGAGGAGCCUUCUUUAGUACGAGAGGACCAAGAAGGACAUACCUCUGGUGUACCAGUUAUCGUGCCAACGGUAAACGCUGGGUAGCUAUGUAUGGAGUGGAUAACCGCUGAAAGCAUCUAAGUGGGAAGCCCACCUCAAGAUAAGUAUUCUCAC